rnacentral:hammerhead_ribozyme from 1 species
AUCCAGCUGACUAGUCCCAGAUAGGACGGAAUGCGUAUCCUUGAU